rnacentral:rRNA from 1 species
UACGGAGGGUGCGAGCGUUGUCCGGAAUCACUGGGCGUAAAGGGCGCGUAGGCGGCCAGCGCAAGUCGGUUGUGAAAUCUCCGGGCUUAACUCGGAAAGGUCAACUGAUACUGCGCGGCUAGAGUGCAGAAGGGGCAACUGGAAUUCUCGGUGUAGCGGUGAAAUGCGUAGAUAUCGAGAGGAACACCUGCGGCGAAGGCGGGUUGCUGGGCUGACACUGACGCUGAGUGCGCGAAAGCCAGGGGAGCGAACGGG